GGGAAUGAGCCAGGGAAGUCGCAGAGACGAUACAGAAAACCGAGGACCCAUAGAUGUAGCAGGACCAAAUCCCAGGGACUACAUCUCUGGAAUCUCAGCAGUUCAAAGACACUAAACCUCGUUAUAAUGGUUUCUGCACAAUGACCUUCAGAGUGGCUAUGUUAUUCUAACACAAAUGACCUUGUUUCUGUGGGUUCGAUGGUUAUUACCUCCAGCGUAAUGUUGAAGGGAGGCGGUGAGAGCCGCAGCCUUCCCUGGCUCCCAGGCUCAGGAGUAAAGGGUUCACAACUUCACCAUGAAGGUUGAGCUGCAAAUUGGUCGUAGAUGC